UUUUUUUAUGUUAAGAUGUUUUUGCAUAGAAAAUUUAAUUAAAAAUAACUUUUUUCGCUGUUUAGCUAAAAAUUGUUAUUCGGAAAAAGCAAAAGUGGAUGGCGUGGUGCCAUUAAGAUGGUAUCGAUAUGAUCUAGUCUCAAUUAAGUGUCGCAGUUCAAGUGCCAGUGAAACGAACGAUAAAAAAGAAGAAGCAUUCAAUUGUUUACCGCUUGACUCCUGUCCCAAUCUAACCUAGUGGGUUCAAAAAAAAGGGACUGCGCUGGAAACAUGCGUGGAUUAAAAGGAUCAGCCCUUUUUGAAUUAAUAGUCGAAGUGGUAACCAGCUAGAAGUCGUAACCUGCUUGUAUGAAAGGAUUUCUCGACGUGAAAUUGUUAAUUUUAUUUAACAACGUCAAGAAACAGAGCUCGCUCAAGAAACAGAAAAGAAAGAGAAAGACGAAAUAAUAUUCUGUUGAACAAUACUAUUGUUUUAUUUAUAA